UACGUAGGUGGCAAGCGUUGUUCGGAAUUAUUGGGCGUAAAGGGCGCGUAGGCGGUUUGUUAAGUCGGCUGUGAAAGCCCGGGGCUCAACCCCGGAGGGUCAGCCGAUACUGGCAGACUAGAGUACGGAAGAGGUAGCUGGAAUUCCCGGUGUAGCGGUGAAAUGUGUAGAGAUCGGGAGGAACACCGGUGGCGAAGGCGGGUCUCUGGGCAAUUCCUGACGCUGAGGCGCGAAAGCGUGGGGAGCAAACGGA
rnacentral:rRNA from 1 species